CGACGAUACAAAUGGAAGCAUUGUAAGAUACAAGAGGUUAUAUGUUCUGACGCGCUUAACUGUCAUGCGAUGCAUGCUUGCUUACACACGUUUCAUAGAGCGACCAUGGAAAGGCAGAACAACGAUUAUGUACAGAAUAGCAAAACACUCACCACUGGUUUCGGAUAUACGUUGACCAAAUGGAUAUUAACUAAUUUCCACCCUCACAUUGUAAACUAACGUGCACUGUAUCUAUUUACUACACACUGACUUAAAAAAUUCGUGUAAAACAUAUAAAAAAGGCAAUAAUUAGGAAACUGACAAGAAAGUCGCCAUAGCGCUUUAGUACUGGGCGGCCAUAUUGCUUUGCUUCCC
rnacentral:misc_RNA from 1 species